UACGUAGGGGGCAAGCGUUGUCCGGAUUUACUGGGCGUAAAGCGCGCGUAGGCGGAAGCUCAAGUCUGGCCUGAAAGCCCCCGGCUCAACCGGGGAGUGGGGCUGGAAACUGGGUUUCUUGAGGGCGAUAGAGGAGUGUGGAAUUCCUGGUGUAGCGGUGGAAUGCGCAGAUAUCAGGAGGAACACCAAUUGCGAAGGCAGCUCGCUGGGACGUUACUGACGCUGAGACGCGAAAGCGUGGGGAGCAAACAGG
rnacentral:rRNA from 1 species